rnacentral:rRNA from 1 species
GUGGGGAAUCUUCCGCAAUGGACGAAAGUCUGACGGAGCAACGCCGCGUGAGUGAAGAAGGUUUUCGGAUCGUAAAGCUCUUUCGUUAGGGACGAACGUGCUCUUUGUGAAUAAUGAGGAGUAAUGACGGUACCUAAAUAAGAAGCCACGGCUAACUACGUGCCAGCAGCCGCGGUAAUACGUAGGUGGCAAGCGUUGUCCGGAAUUAUUGUGCGUAAAGCGCGCGCAGGCGGGAUAUCAAGUCUGUCUUAAAAGUGCGAGGCUCAACCUCGUGAGGGGACAGAAACUGGUAUUCUUGAGUGUCGGAGAGGAAAGUGGAAUUCCAAGUGUAGCGGUGAAAUGCGUAGAGAUUUGGAAGAACACCAGUGGCGAAGGCGACUUUCUGGACGAUGUCUGACGCUGAGGCGCGAAAGCUAGGGGAGCGAACGGGAUUAGAAACCCUAGUAGUCC